rnacentral:tRNA from 2 species
GCGCCAGUAGCUCAGUAGGAUAGAGCAGCGGCCUUCUAAGCCGCCGGCCGGGGGUUCGAAUCCUCCCUGGCGCGCCA